rnacentral:rRNA from 1 species
AUUGAACGCUGGCGGAAUGCUUUACACAUGCAAGUCGAGCGGCAGCGCGGGGCAACCUGGCGGCGAGCGGCGAACGGGUGAGUAAUACAUCGGAACGUACCCAGUCGUGGGGGAUAACACAGCGAAAGUUGUGCUAAUACCGCAUACGACCUGAGGGUGAAAGUGGGGGACCGCAAGGCCUCACGCGAUUGGAGCGGCCGAUGGCGGAUUAGCUAGUUGGUGAGGUAAAGGCUCACCAAGGCGACGAUCCGUAGCGGGUCUGAGAGGACGGCCCGCCACACUGGAACUGAGACGCGGUCCAGACUCCUACGGGAGGCAGCAGUGGGGAAUUUUGGACAAUGGGCGAAAGCCUGAUCCAGCCAUUCCGCGUGAGUGAAGAAGGCCUUCGGGUUGUAAAGCUCUUUCGGCAGGAACGAAACGGUGGGGGCUAAUAUCCCCUGCUAAUGACGGUACCUGAAGAAGAAGCACCGGCUAACUACGUGCCAGCCGCCGCCGUAA